rnacentral:tRNA from 1 species
GGUUGUGUAGCUCAGUGGUAGAGUGCUUGCCUAGCAUGCAUGAGGCCCGGGUUCCAUCCCUAGCACCAGCA